UUGGGGUGAAAUUCCUUGCCUUCCAACUUUGUUCUUGGAAACCUAGCAAAUCCCACAUGGAGAUGAUGUCUUUUGGCUUGUGAACUUGAGGUGUCCUACUCACUAAAUUCAUUCAAAGAUGGAUUUUCUAUUGCAAAAUGUAACAAGUUCACCAGUCAUCACGGAAAGAAAAAAGGUUUGCUUGAAGAUGCACACCAAAUGCUUGAGAAAAUGACCAAGAUAUUCAAAAGUAGUAGACCAGAGGACACAUGAAGUGAUGAACUUUGCUGACAUAUAAAUUACAUUUGAGGUCAAUUUCUACCAUAUUUGAAGAAUUUUGCAACUGAGCACCAAUUAUCCAAAAUGAGGUAUACUUUAG